AUUGAACGCUGGCGGCAGGCCUAACACAUGCAAGUCGAGCGAACGGAGGACUGGUGAGUAAGGUAUGGGGCUCUGCCCAAUUGAGGGGUCUAACUACUGGAAACGGUGGCUACUACCGCAUACUAUCGGAUGAACCCCUAUGGGAGUAGCUAGUAGGUGGGAUAAAGGCGCACCUAGGCGACGAUCCCUAGCUGGACUGAGAGGAUGAUCAGACACACGGGGACUGAGAAACGGCCCAGACUCCUACGGGAGGCAGCAGUGGGGAAUAUUGCGCAAUGGGCGCAAGCCUGAAGCAGACAUGCCGCGUGUAUGAAGAAGGCAUUAGGAUUGUAAAGCACGUUCAGCGAGGAGGCGUUACCCAAAGAAGAAGCACCGGCUAACUACGUGCCAGCAGCCGCGGUAAUAC
rnacentral:rRNA from 1 species